rnacentral:piRNA from 1 species
CAGAACCCGGAAGGAAAGCAGUACCU